GCCAAGUGCCUAAAAUAUCGGUUUCCAUGUGUAUGUGCUGGAUGGUGUGCGUCCUUUAUAAAAGCUACCAUCAGGCUCCUAAGGGGAAUCAUGUUGAUGGAAUCUAUUAAAAUGCACAUCAGCACAUGUUUUAUGAAGGACAGAUUGUGAAGAUUGUUGGAUUACACAAAUACAUGAAUAAUAUGACUGGAAAUUGAGUUUGUCAGAAUAUACAUGAGUUCACCAAGGACAGUCCCUCUCAGAGGAGGCAGCCAGGAGCUAAAGUCUACUCAUAUUGCACUUUAAAGAUAUGAUUCAAAGUGGAUAAAACCUCUAAGGUAGACAUAAGGAGAAUGUUAAGUUGAUCAUGCAGAACAUCGAUGUGUCUCUUGUGUUUACUGCUUGGGGAACUUGCAGCGUGGAAACAUCUCCAGCCAUAUAACCAGCAGAUCAAAGUUGGCCUGAGCAGUCACUGGGACUUCACAGCGCUACACAGUCGGGGGAUUCAAGGAUUGUUGAGCAAAGGUUUUUCUUUGGCAGAGGUCAGAUUUCUUCCCCCUCGCUCAAUUCUGUUUUAACGCCAGAGGACAAAACUGGACAAGUUCCUACUUUUACAUGUAACAAGGGAGGUGACAUGAAAUCAAAACUUUUCAGCAAAAGUGAUGUUUGAAUUCAUUUUCUUUCCAAAUUAUUGUUUGAGCUGCAACAGAAAAUCAUUACACUUGACAUGUGUCAUAGGCUCCAUUCAAGGCUUAACAAAUGAGAGCCUAUUAUUUAGCUUGCCAUUUCAAUUGAAGUCUGUUGAAAACUAGUGUGGCAAGUCUCUCACAACAUUAGGGUUUCAUUUCACAAGGUUCCAGCAGUUCCGGAUGCUAGCAUAGUUGUUUUUUUUUUUUGUUUUUCUUUUAAAAUGGUAUGCUGUUUUUUUAGUGCCAUUCGAGUUAUAUGUGCACUUUCACAAUUUCCCAGCUCUGUCUUUCUCCAUCUCAGCGCCUGUUCAUUUUUAAAGCCUCCUGUUGCCCAUUACAUUGUGUCUCAGGUAUCAUCAGGUCAGCAGCAGCAAGGGCAGCAGCGGUAUGCUGCAUUAGUGUAGCCUAUACAGAUAUUUUUCCGUACAAGAUGUUUCAUUAGUAGAAUUUCCCUUUACUGUUAAAAGAUAAAGGGCACGUUAAUUAUACACCUAAAACAAGAUCUUACAUAAUAGCCUAUCAUGGACAAUGUGAUAAUAGCCUAUCAAGUCCAAUAACUUAUCACUUCACUUUGUGUGUGAUUUUAUUCACAUACAAAGUGAAACAUGCAUGUGGUUAUACAUGCAUGUGGUUAAACUGUAUAGCAAAAGAAAUGUAUGGCUUUUUGUCCAUAACUUAAAAAGUAGGAAUACAUUUCUUUCUUGUCAACAAAUUGUGAACCUGCAACCCAUCAGCACCUGGCUUCAAGACACAGCUGGCUGUGCAAAG